UACGUAGGGCGCAAGCGUUGUCCGGAUUUAUUGGGCGUAAAGAGCUCGUAGGCGGUUUGUCGCGUCUUCCGUGAAAACUGGGGGCUUAACUUCCAGCUUGCGGUGGAUACGGGCUGACUGGAGUGCGGCAGGGGAGACUGGAAUUCCGUGGUGUAGCGGUGAAAUGCGUAGAUAUCUGGAGGAACACCGGUGGCGAAGGCGGCAUCCUGGACCGGCAUUGACGCUGAGGAGCGAAAGCCAGGGGAG
rnacentral:rRNA from 1 species